rnacentral:rRNA from 1 species
GAUGAACGCUGGCGGCGUGCCCAAUACAUGCAAGUCGAGCGAACGGACGAGAAGCUUGCUUCUCUGAUGUUAGCGGCGGACGGGUGAGUAACACGUGGAUAACCUACCUAUAAGACUGGGAUAACUUCGGGAAACCGGAGCUAAUACCGGAUAAUAUUUUGAACCGCAUGGUUCAAAAGUGAAAGGCGGUCUUGCUGUCACUUAUAGAUGGAUCCGCGCUGCAUUAGCUAGUUGGUAAGGUAACGGCUUACCAAGGCAACGAUGCAUAGCCGACCUGAGAGGGUGAUCGGCCACACUGGAACUGAGACACGGUCCAGACUCCUACGGGAGGCAGCAGUAGGGAAUCUUCCGCAAUGGGCGAAAGCCUGACGGAGCAACGCCGCGUGAGUGAUGAAGGUCUUCGGAUCGUAAAACUCUGUUAUUAGGGAAGAACAUAUGUGUAAGUAACUGUGCACAUCUUGACGGUACCUAAUCAGAAAGCCACGGCUAACUACGUG